rnacentral:tRNA from 1 species
GCGAAAUAGCUCAGUUGGGAGAGUGUCAGCCUGAAGAUCUGAAGGUCCCUGGUUCAAGCCUGGUUUUUGGCA